rnacentral:rRNA from 1 species
UACGGGGGGGGCAAGCGUUGUUCGGAAUUACUGGGCGUAAAGGGCGCGUAGGCGGCCAUCUAAGUCAGACGUGAAAUCCCUCGGCUCAACCGGGGAACUGCGUCUGAUACUGGAUGGCUUGAAUCCGGGAGAGGAUGGCGGAAUUCCAGGUGUAGCGGUGAAAUGCGUAGAUAUGCGGAGGAACACCGAUGGCGAACGGCAAUCCCCUGGGCCUGUCACUGACGCUCAUGCAC